rnacentral:rRNA from 1 species
UACGUAGGGUCCGAACGUUGUCCGGAAUUAUUGGGCGUAAAGGGCUCGUAGGCGGUUUGUCACGUCGGAAGUGAAAACUCAGGGCUCAACCCUGAGCGUGCUUACGAUACGGGCAAACUAGAGGUAUGCAGGGGAGAACGGAAUUCCUGGUGUAGCGGUGGAAUGCGCAGAUAUCAGGAGGAACACCGGUGGCGAAGGCGGUUCUCUGGGCAUUACCUGACGCUGAGGAGCGAAAGCAUGGGGAGCGAACAGGAUUAGAAACCCUAGUAGU